rnacentral:rRNA from 1 species
UGCCCAAGAGAUCGGGAUAACACCUGGAAACAGAUGCUAAUACCGGAUAACAACAGAUGAUGCCUAUCAACUGUUUAAAAGAUGGUUCUGCUAUCACUCUUGGAUGGACCUGCGGUGCAUUAGCUAGUUGGCAGGGUAACGGCCUACCAAGGCGAUGAUGCAUAGCCGAGUUGAGAGACUGAUCGGCCACAUUGGGACUGAGACACGGCCCAAACUCCUACGGGAGGCAGCAGAA